GGCACUUUGGCCGAGUGGUCUAAGGCGCCGUGUUCAGGCGAUCGGUUGCGUUGAUCCAGCGCAGUCGCCCCUCUUCGCGGUCUAGUAAUAGGCGAGGGUUCGAAUCCCUCAGGUGUCA